rnacentral:rRNA from 1 species
GCGUGAGUGAAGAAGGCCUUAGGGUUGUAAGACUCUUUCGCCGGUGAAGAUAAUGACGGUAGCCGGAGAAGAAGCCCCGGCUAACUUCGUGCCAGCAGCCGCGGUAAUACGAAGGGGGCUAGCGUUGUUCGGAAUUACUGGGCGUAAAGCGCACGUAGGCGGAUUGGUAAGUUGAGGGUGAAAUCCCAGGGCUCAACCCUGGAACUGCCUUCAAAACUACUAGUCUUGAGAUCAGUAGAGGCGAGCGGAAUACCGAGUGUAGAGGUGAAAUUCGU